GGAUGGGGUAUGGGACUCGAACAAGAGGAGGGAGGGGGUUGCCCUAGAAGUUUUGAAAAAGGGCUUCCCCUCGUCUUCCUCUUCUAUCUUCUUCACCCGCUGCUGCCCAACCCCCACCGCACCUUCAACAUUGAAAAGAAAAAUCCCUUGUCGUCGUCUCUCUUGCCCUCUCACUCUUCUGCUGCGUAGGUAAUCCUCUCACUCUCUCUCUCUCUGUUGCUGGUGAUGUGCAGCAUUCCUUUCUCUUCCGCCAUAACAUAGACUUGUUGCUCGGUCAGUGGAUCUGCUUGAGUUGCCACAGGAUUGCCAACUCACAUUGCAAGGGCUGAAAAACAAUUAGGGGAUUUCAUUUUCUGAUAGAAGUUUCUUCAACAACUCUCUCGUCCUAGCAGUAGACAACGUCUUUCUCAUUCUGUUUGUGUCUUGCUCCUUUCCUUGACGUUGUUCUUCUUCGUUGUUGCUUCCUAAAAUUGAUUCUCCUCCUCUUCCAUCUUUUUCUCUAUUGUUAUUUUAUUUCCUCAUCUUUGAGACCCGUUUUGCCUAAUGUUGUGAUUGAUUUGACACCUGAUUUGUUGACUGCCGUUUCUUGCCUUAAUCUGUUAUCUUUGCUUAGGUGGUUACUUUUCCCUGGCUCAGGGGAUCAUUUUGGGUUUCAUUGUCCUUAUUACAAUCGCGUGUAUAAAUUUUAUGCUUCUAUCCUGUUUGUAAGAGAAAGGGAUCACACGUGUUAUUCACCUGGGUGAGUAAUGUCUCCCAACUCAAGUUGUGGCACAUCCCCCAUGGGAACUGGUGUGUACACAGGAAACACACUGGUCUUUUCUUGGAGAUUUUGGUACUUUGUUUAUGACUUUACACAUCUUGAAUAUGAGAGCCUAGAUUUUGAAUUUUUUUUGCACCUGCACCUUGCGACACAAGGCAAAUUCAUUUGCUUUUUAGUUUGCUGUAGCUGGUUGCUUUUUCUUUUUGAAUUUUGUAUGCAAGACACUGCUGUAAAAAAUUUGCAUUUGUUAAAGAGCUUGAGACCUGCCUCUUUGGGCCUUUGCCUCUUUUCCUCCCCACGUACGUAUGCCUUUGUUUUCUCAAGUGUCGUUUGCUUCUUCAAGAUGGUCAUGUGGUAUACUUAUAUAUACUGGGCCAGUCUUGUGGUGGUUUAAGGUUGCACAUGAAUAAGCAAUUUUUUCUGUGUACUGAUGAUCACAUUUGCUUGUUUUUCCUUCAGUAUGUUAUCAAUCACCAAGCAUUACAGUGCCUGUUGAAUCUUUUGAUGCACAAUCACAAGAAAAGUAUAAAGAAGGAAGCAUGCUGGACGAUUUCAAACAUCACUGCUGGAAAUAAGGUUUCAGGCUGUUAUUGAUGUUGAUAUAUCAUUGGUCCACUUGUACAUUUGCUUCAAACAGCUGAGUUUGAUAUAAAAAAAGAUGCAGCUUGGGCAAUCUCCAAUGCAACUUCAGGGGGUACACACGAUCAGAUAAAAGUAUGUUUUGAUGUAUGAAGCUUCAUAUGCACAGAAAAGGAAAUGUUGUUUUAGUAUUGUUUGUCGGAUCAUUUUUUUUCCUUAAUUGGUAAACCUUGUUAUUUAGUUAUCUGGUGAGUCAGGGUUGCAUCAAACCUUUGUGCGAUCUUUUGGUGCGCCCAAACCCAAGAAUUGUGACGGUUUGUUUUGAAGGAUUGGAGAACAAAUUGAAGGUUGGGGAAGCUGAAAAGAACAUGGGCAACAUUGGAGUUUGGUCGUUAGAUGUUCUUAAAAGAUGUGGUCUUAAUUCCUAUGUCUUGCAUGCUAGAUGUUCUUAAAAGGUGUGAAGAUUGGGUUUCAUAGUUCAUUUGGUGUUUACUAUAUAUAUUUUGUUGUACAUAAAUCAUAUUUGGAUCA